AGAAAGUAAAGCACAGAUCCAGGAAAGACAGAGAACAUCAAGCAGGAUAAAUACCAAAAUAAAACAAACUCCUACACCUAGGUAUAUUAUAUUCAAAUUGCAGAGAAACAAAGACAAAGAGAAAACAUAGAAAGAAGCCAGAGGGAAAAAACACCUUAUCUAUAGAGGAACAAAGACAAAAACUACAGUGGCCUUCUCAUCAGAAACCAUGCAAGCAAGAAGAGAGGGGUGUGAAAUAUUUAACAUGUUGAAAGAAAAAAAUCCACCAAGCUAGAAUUCUAUACACAGCAAAAUUACUUCAAAACUGGAGAAAUAAAGCCUUUAUCAAACCAACAAAAUCUGAGAUAAUUUAUCACCAGCAGACAUACUCUGCAAGAAAUUUUAAAAGAAGUUUUUCAGGUAGAAGGAAAAUUAAGUGGAUCAGAGACACGAUCUUCAAAAAGAAGGGGAGAAGGAGAAAGUGUGUCAGAGAAGAAACAAAUGAAGAAUCUUUUAGGAAAAGAAACCGACUGGAAUCAUGGAAGAUUGAUUCCCAGUAUUUAUAUGAAGAAGUGG
rnacentral:lncRNA from 1 species